UACGUAGGUGACGAGCGUUGUUCGGAAUUAUUGGGCGUAAAGGGUUCGUAGGAUGUUUAUUAAGAUUGGUGUGAAAUACCAAGGCUCAACCUUGGAACUGCAUUGAUUACUGAUGAACUAGAGUAUCGUAGAGGAAAGCGGAAUUCCAGGUGUAGCGGUGGAAUGCGUAGAUAUCUGGAAGAACACCGACAGCGAAGGCAGCUUUCUGGGCGAUAACUGACUCUGAGGAACGAAAGCAUGGGGAGCAAACAGGAUUAGAUACCCUGGUAGUCCAUGCCGUAAACGUUGUGUGCUUGGUCUGAGCGGAUUCAACCCUGUUCGGAUCGGAGUUAACAUGUUAAGCACACCGCCUGGGGACUACGGUCGCAAGACUAAA
rnacentral:rRNA from 1 species